rnacentral:rRNA from 1 species
AUUGAACGCUGGCGGCAGGCUUAACACACGCAAGUCGAGCGGGGUGAUGGUGCUUGCACUAUCACUUAGCGGCGGACGGGUGAGUAAUGCUUAGGAAUCUGCCUAUUAGUGGGGGACAACAUCUCGAAAGGGAUGCUAAUACCGCAUACGUCCUACGGGAGAAAGCAGGGGAUCACUUGUGACCUUGCGCUAAUAGAUGAGCCUAAGUCGGAUUAGCUAGUUGGUGGGGUAAAGGCCUACCAAGGCGACGAUCUGUAGCGGGUCUGAGAGGAUGAUCCGCACACUGGGACUGAGACACGGCCCAGACUCCUACGGGAGGCAGCAGUGGGGAAGAUUGGACAAUGGGGGGAACCCUGAUCCAGCCAUGCCGCGUGUGUGAAGAAGGCCUUAUGGUUGUAAAGCACUUUAAGCGAGGAGGAGGCUCUUUUGGUUAAUACCCAAGAUGAGUGGACGUUACUCGCAGAAUAAGCACCGGCUAACUCUGUGCCAGCCGCCGCAGUAA